CAACACCAGCCUCUCAGGCUGGUAGAGACAGGUCUCUAGAGAGGGGCACCAACGGUGGCAUUUCUGCCACACUGUGAAGAUGACCAAACCCUCAUGUGUCUGGUUUGUGUUGGAUCUGCACAUGAGGAUCACUCUGUGGUGCCUAUGGAGGAGGCUGCCCAGGAAUACAAGGAGCAAAUCUGGAGGCACCUGGAUGUUUUGGAGGAGGAAAAAGAAGAGAUUCUAGCUCUUAUAGCCCAAGAGGAUGAGCAAAGCCAGGAACCGCUGACUCAGUGUUAGACAGUGAUGAGGUUAUCUAGUGUGCACAGUCUUCCAGGAGAGAAGCAAACAGAGAUUGAGAAAGAGAAGAUGCAAUUUCAAUUUGAGCGACUGCACCGGUUCUUGGAAAAACAAGAGCGUCUCUUUCUGGCUUGGUUGGAAUAGCUGGAGAGAGACAUAGAGACCAGGAAGGAUGAAAGUAUCACACAGCUCUCAGAGAAGCUUUCCUGUCUUGAUGCUCUGCUCAGGGAACUGGAGGAGAAAUGUGAGGAGCCAGCAAUGGGAUUUCUGGAGGAUGCCAGAAGCACCUUGAACAGAUGUGAGACAGAGAGAGCCUGGCCCUCAGCACUUGCUCGUCCUGAAACAAACUGGAGGAUUUGGUUAUUUUCUCAAGAUAUUACUUUUCUACAGGAGGCUCUGGAGAAACUGCAAGGCAAUAUGGAAACGGAGAGCUUAAAGAGGAGUGUGAGUGUCUGUGCAGGUCCUGUUCUCAUGAUGAUUGCACU